GAUGAACGCUGGCGGCGUGCCUAAUACAUGCAAGUCGAGCGAACAGACGAGGAGCUUGCUCCUCUGACGUUAGCGGCGGACGGGUGAGUAACACGUGGAUAACCUACCUAUAAGACUGGGAUAACUUCGGGAAACCGGAGCUAAUACCGGAUAAUAUAUUGAACCGCAUGGUUCAAUAGUGAAAGACGGUUUUGCUGUCACUUAUAGAUGGAUCCGCGCCGCAUUAGCUAGUUGGUAAGGUAACGGCUUACCAAGGCGACGAUGCGUAGCCGACCUGAGAGGGUGAUCGGACACACUGGAACUGAGACACGGUCCAGACUCCUACGGGAGGCAGCAGUAGGGAAUCUUCCGCAAUGGGCGAAAGCCUGACGGAGCAACGCCGCGUGAGUGCUGAAGGUCUUCGGAUCGUAAAACUCUGUUAUUAGGGAAGAACAAAUGUGUAAGUAACUAUGCACGUCUUGACGGUACCUAAUCAGAAAGCCACGGCUAACUACGUG
rnacentral:rRNA from 1 species